UGCUCUUCCUCCCGACGCGGAAGUGUCCUUUCGAGUCCCAUCUCCGUCUUCGUGGUCCUCAGAUCUGGCAGCCUCCGGCCACAACGCUGCCGGAUCUAACCAACCAAUAGGUGCUCGACGCCGCUCCUCAGGACCACGUCGGUCUUCUUCGCCUGCUCUCUCUCUCUCCCUCAACCUCCCACGGCAUGUAUCGGCCCCUUCUGAAACUCCUCAUCCGAGUGGCCACCUGAUGCCACCGUGUAGAACACGCUCACUCCUGCCUUUGCCCGCCUGUACCAGGAUUUGCUCCUGUGGUUCAAGUUGAAUACCGGGGAGAUGGAGAUGGUGACAUGGCUGGCUCCUGUGGUGGUGAGGUUCAAGUUCUACAACGAGGUGGCCGUUGGGCCUAUCUGAAGAGCAACAAUGUAACGCUUUUGAGCUUAGGUACAAGAAGUCGUAUUUGAAAGGGGACGAGAUGAUGUUCAUCAAAAUGAAACUGAAAAGGAGUGGGAAACAAUACUGGAGGAAUCGUGAUCUAUGGCAAGGGUGAUGAUGUCUAUGGCGAUGAUUGUCAUGAUCUAUAUGGCAAUGGGCGUUAUGAUCCAUAUGGUGAUGAAGAUGAGUCUGAUCUUUCUUCAGGAUAUGCAACAAAGUGAACUUAUGAAGUUUUGGUCAAUUUUAGCUUAUGCAUAAUUCUUGGACCAUUAUAUAUUAGUUACUAUUUUUGUUUAGCAUUUCAAACUUCCUAGAUAGAUCAUUAUGAUCGAUGUAAUUUGGAUGCGCUAAAUAUACUAUA